AAACAACUCUCAGCAACGGAUAUCUUGGCUCUCGMAACGAUGAAAAACGMAGCGAAWUGCGAUACGUAGUGUGAAUUGCAGAAUUCCGCGAAUCAUCGAGUUUUUGAACGCAAGUUGCGCCCGAGGCUUGUCCCGAGGGCAUGUCUGCCUAAGCGUCACC
rnacentral:rRNA from 1 species